GGAGGCAUGGUUCAAAUGGUAGAGUUCUUGCUUAACGAGCAAGAGUUCCCUGAGUUCAAUCCCCAGUUCUACCA
rnacentral:tRNA from 1 species